rnacentral:rRNA from 1 species
AGUCGAGCGAGCUUGCCUAGAUGAUUUUAGUGCUUGCACUAAAUGACACUAGACACAAGCGGGCGGCGGACGGGUGAGUAACACGUGGGUAACCUGCCCAAGAGACUGGGAUAACACCUGGAAACAGAUGCUAAUACCGGAUAACAACACUAGACGCAUGUCUAGAGUUUGAAAGAUGGUUCUGCUAUCACUCUUGGAUGGACCUGCGGUGCAUUAGCUAGUUGGUAAGGUAACGGCUUACCAAGGCAAUGAUGCAUAGCCGAGUUGAGAGACUGAUCGGCCACAUUGGGACUGAGACACGGCCCAAACUCCUACGGGAGGCAGCAGUAGGGAAUCUUCCACAAUGGACGAAAGUCUGAUGGAGCAACGCCGCGUGAGUGAAGAAGGGUUUCGGCUCGUAAAGCUCUGUUGGUAGUGAAGAAAGAUAGAGGUAGUAACUGGCCUUUAUUUGACGGUAAUUACUUAGAAAGUCACGGCUAACUACGUGCCAGCAGCCGCGGUAAUACGUAGGUGGCAAGCGUUGUCCGGAUUUAUUGGGCGUAAAGCGAGUGCAGGCGGUUCAAUAAGUCUGAUGUGAAAGCCUUCGGCUCAACCGGAGAAUUGCAUCAGAAACUGUUGAACUUGAGUGCAGAAGAGGAGAGUGGAACUCCAUGUGUAGCGGUG